rnacentral:rRNA from 1 species
AUGGAGAUGUGGAGACAUCGAGUCCUAGGAUCGGUGGCCACCCUGCUCCUGCUACUCACCCUCGUCCAACCGUUUACUCUGAACCAGAUCGCGGAAGACGCGCCGCCGACGCUCGGAGGCAUCCAGGACUCGCCGGGGCCAGAGAAGGUGUACGGAGGCAUCGAGGACUGGCCGGGGGCAGAGAACGACCUCCGCGUCGUCGACCUCGCCCGCUUCGCCGUCUCCGAGCACAACAGCAACACCAAUGCUGUGCUGGAGUUCCGGAAAGUGGUGAAGGUGAAGCGGCAAGUUGUUGAAGGCAUGAUGUAUUACAUUACAAUCGAGGUGGAUGAAGGCUGGGCAAAGAAGCUCUAUGAAGCCAAGGUUUGGGACCGGCCGUGGCUGGAUUCCAACCCCAGGAAGCUCUCGGAGUUCAAGCCGGCAGAGGAUAAACUAUGUACCUUGUUGCGUAACAUGCCUGCUUUUCUGCCGAGGUUGAAUCGUGCAGGCUGUAUUGAAUAUAAAUAA